rnacentral:rRNA from 1 species
AUGGGGGAGAUGAGUUCGGAGUCGGACAUUGCUUCAGAUAAUUCCAUAUUUGCAGGCGAUAUUGCCUCUGAUGUCAAUGAUGCUGCAUUGCUGGAGACUUUCUCUAGCAGGUACUCCUCUGUCAAAGAUACAAAAGUUGUUAUUGAUGCUAACACUGGUAGAUCAAAGGGCUAUGGAUUUGUGCUUUAUCACGCAUCUGGACUUGUUUCCCUUCUUAAUUUGUUUGGGAGGGAGAUUCAUUCAGAAUAUAGUUCACACUUUGCAGUAUUUAUGUACAAAACUGUUUUUGCUCUGCAUUCAUUCCUUGCUGCUUUUAUGCACUACCUUUUUGGAAAAUGGGUUUGUAUUGGUGACAAAUGA